AGAAUAUAAACACGGAAUCUCUGGUUUUAAAGGGUUAAUUAAUCAAAUAGUUAAAAAAAUAAAAAAAUAAAAAAUUAGAAUCAGGCCAGCAUUGAGUGAAAAUUUUUCUACCAGUUGAAUUAUUUUGCCUAAUAAAACUACGUAAUCACUCUGCAGGAGUUUCCUGGAACAGGGGGCAAUAAGAGGAUCCAUCCCGUUCAACAUGUUCCCUUUAAAUAUAACUGCAAGGCUCAGCAAAUGGACAAGAGUGCUUUCAUCCAUUUGUGGCGUAAAAAUAUGGCUGCUGCAACUCCAACAUGUCCCAGUUCCCCAAAGAAAUGAAAAGGCCCAGAACUUUGGACUACACGAGGCACUGAAAGCACGAGUACGAUAUCCAGGAAAUAGUAGUUUGUGCUUCGGGUUCAGUAAAGGUGCAGGUUGGUGGAGUCGGGAAGGAACGUGAAUAAACACAGAAGGGACAGCUCACACGACAACACCAACACGACACUCAGACGGCUUUGAGAGGACAGAGACACGGUAUACGGAAC